AGUGAACGCUGGCGGUAGGCCUAACACAUGCAAGUCGAACGGCAGCACAGUAAGAGCUUGCUCUUACGGGUGGCGAGUGGCGGACGGGUGAGGAAUACAUCGGAAUCUACUUUUUCGUGGGGGAUAACGUAGGGAAACUUACGCUAAUACCGCAUACGACCUACGGGUGAAAGCAGGGGAUCUUCGGACCUUGCGCGAUUGAAUGAGCCGAUGUCGGAUUAGCUAGUUGGCGGGGUAAAGGCCCACCAAGGCGACGAUCCGUAGCUGGUCUGAGAGGAUGAUCAGCAACACUGGAACUGAGACACGGUCCAGACUCCUACGGGAGGCAGCAGUGGGGAAUAUUGGACAAUGGGCGAAAGCCUGAUCCAGCCAUACCGCGUGGGUGAAGAAGGCCUUCGGGUUGUAAAGCCCUUUUGUUGGGAAAGAAAAGAAGCAGGUUAAUACCCCGCUGUUCUGACGGUACACAAAGAAUAAGCACCGGCUAACUUCGU
rnacentral:rRNA from 1 species